AUUGAACGCUGGCGGCAGGCUUAACACAUGCAAGUCGAGCGAGCGGCGGACGGGUGAGUAAUGUCCGGGAAACUGCCUGAUGGAGGGGGGUAACUACUGGAAACGGCAGCUAAUACUGCAUACCAUCUGAUGUGCCCAGAUGGGGUUAGCUUGUAGGUGGGGUAACGGCUCACCUAGGCGAAGAUCCCUAGCUGGUCUGAGAGGAUGACCAGCCACACUGGAACUGGAAAACGGUCAGAACUCCUACGGGAGGCGGCAGUGGGGAAUAUUGCACAAUGGGCGAAAGCCUGAUGCAGCCAUGCCGCGUGUGUGAAGAGGGCCUUCGGGUUGAAAGGCACUUUCAGCGGGAAGGCGUUACCCGCAGAAGAAGCACCGGCUAACUCCGUGCCAGCAGCCGCGGUAAUAC
rnacentral:rRNA from 1 species